UGAGAAGAUGUUAGAAUAUUUGUACUAAAUAAAAUACAGCAUGUUGAUUUUGAGCAUAUUUCCUAAGUUGUUCCGUAGGUGUUGAUAUCAUUGUUCUUAAUAAAGUUUUAAGUAAAUUUCCUCGGACAUUGUAAUAUCUAAAACCAAAGAGGAUAAUCUAAUCAAGUGUUCCAAAGAAUAAAUGAAUAUGGCCUCUCAUAACCUAAGAAGAAAAGGCACUGGUAUGAUAUGCAGAAAACUGAAUAUUAAUUUUACUGCUUUCAUCAUUCGUAUGGCUUUGACUAAAAUCUUACACUUUACAUAUCCUAGCUUUUUCUUCUGUAAGAUGGGUUAUGUUAUGCCUGCCAAGUCUUGAAUAUUCACUACCCGUGAAUAUACUUGGUAAAUGUCACCAAUUAUAUGAUUUCUAUGUUAUUUCUAUAUGGAGUAAAUUGAAUUCCAAAAAUUUCAUCUGUGCUCUUCUUUCUAAAAUACCGAGCUCCUUUAAACUAGAAAUACUUACACCUAAUUAACUUUCUCUUUUCACUAUUAUACCAAAAAUAGUUAUUAUUUAAUUGUUAUUGAUGUAAUACCAGUUAUGAUAGAAAAAGGUUUUCAGAGCCCUAUAUAACUGAGCAGAUAGAAUCCAUGACAUACCUGUUAAUUGCAUCCAAAGGAAAAAUAAAACUUCUCUUAUGUUUUCAUCAGGCAGGAAGUUACAGCUUGGAGCAAGCACCUAGGCUAAACUCCCACAGAGACCGGGAGACAGGAAGCCAGGUCCAAGAUGUCUCCAAGGCCCCCCAAAAAGAUUUCUGGGAUGUAAAACUGGCUUAUUUAGGUUCUAAAAAGAUUCCCAUACAUCUCAAAGAGACAGAGAGGAUUUGCAGUUCCAAGUUUCUAAAGGAAAUGAAAGAAAAGUGAGGAGAGUAGUUCACUUUCCCUUUUGACAUAGUUUUUUCAUUAUUUGUAUUUACCAUUACAAAUAUGAACUAAAAGCUUCCUUCUCUUUCCUUUUGUUUUUAGGCUCCACUUAACACUCCUGUAACAGAAGACAGAUUUGGAAUUUUAACAGAGAAAUACAGAAUUCCUGUGCCAAUUCUUCCAGGUCUUCCAAUGAAUAAUCAUGGCAAUUACAUUGUACGCUUGGGACAUUUAGUGAGCUGGAUGGGAGAACAAGCAGAAGCCCUCGGUGUUGAAGUAUACCCUGGCUAUGCUGCUGCUGAGGUUCUUUUUCAUGAAGACAGCAGUGUAAAAGGAAUUGCCACUAAUGAUGUAGGGAUACAAAAGGAUGGUGCA